rnacentral:rRNA from 1 species
AGUGAACGCUGGCGGUAGGCCUAACACAUGCAAGUCGAACGGCAGCACAGUAAGAGCUUGCUCUUACGGGUGGCGAGUGGCGGACGGGUGAGGAAUACAUCGGAAUCUACUUUUUCGUGGGGGAUAACGUAGGGAAACUUACGCUAAUACCGCAUACGACCUACGGGUGAAAGCAGGGGAUCUUCGGACCUUGCGCGUUUGAAUGAGCCGAUGUCGGAUUAGCUAGUUGGCUGGGUAAAGGCCCACCAAGGCGACGAUCCGUAGCUGGUCUGAGAGGAUGAUCAGCCACACUGGAACUGAGACACGGUCCAGACUCCUACGGGAGGCAGCAGUGGGGAAUAUUGGACAAUGGGCGCAAGCCUGAUCCAGCCAUACCGCGUGGGUGAAGAAGGCCUUCGGGUUGUAAAGCCCUUUUGUUGGGAAAGAAAAGCAGCAGGUUAAUCCACCGCUGUUCUGACGGUACCCAAAGAAUAAGCACCGGCUAACUUCGUG